CGGUAAUACGUAGGGUGCAAGCGUUAAUCGGAAUUACUGGGCGUAAAGCGUGCGCAGGCGGUUGUGCAAGACAGAUGUGAAAUCCCCGGGCUCAACCUGGGAAUUGCAUUUGUGACUGCACGGCUAGAGUGUGUCAGAGGGGGGUAGAAUUCCACGUGUAGCAGUGAAAUGCGUAGAUAUGUGGAGGAAUACCGAUGGCGAAGGCAGCCCCCUGGGAUAACACUGACGCUCAUGCACGAAAGCGUGGGGAGCAAACAGGAUUAGAUACCCUGGUAGUCCACGCCCUAAACGAUGUCUACUAGUUGUCGGGUCUUAAUUGACUUGGUAACGCAGCUAACGCGUGA
rnacentral:rRNA from 1 species